CCUACGGGUGGCAGCAGUGAGGAAUAUUGGUCAAUGGGCGGAAGUCUGAACCAGCCAUGCCGCGUGCAGGAUGUCGGCUCUAUGAGUUGUAAACUGCUUUUAUACGAGGAUAACCCGCGUUACGUGUAUCGCGUUGAAAGUACCGUAUGAAUAAGGAUCGGCUAACUCCGUGCCAGCAGCCGCGGUAAUACGGAGGAUCCGAGCGUUAUCCGGAUUUAUUGGGUUUAAAGGGUGCGUAGGCGGAUGUUUAAGGUAGCGGUAAAAGCUUGGGGCUCAACCCCAUCCAGCCGUGGAAACUGGGGAUCUAGAGUGUGCGGGAGGUAGGCGGAAUGCGUGGUGUAGCGGUGAAAUGCAUAGAUAGGACGAAGAACCCCGAUUGCGAAGGCAGCAUACUGGUGCACAACUGACGCUGAGGCACGAAAGCGUGGGUAUCGAACAGGAUUAGAUACCCGAGUAGUC
rnacentral:rRNA from 1 species